UCUCGGACAUUUCCUAGUCUCGGUCACUCGUUCUCUGCCAAAUAGCUGCGGCCAAACCUAGCUGCUACGCUAGCGUCAUAGUCAUACUGGAUAGCAACUAGGUAGAGCGGGUCACGUCAGCAUCCGUCGUAACGUUGUUGCUGUAGAACUUGAAAACUGAUCGCACCUAUUCUCGGUCACAGAGUCUCAUAUCUCGGCUCCUUAUAUGACUUCCUUUCGCCAAAUUGUUGGUUUUGUCUUGUCAACCUCUACUCUCGCAGACGAUGAAGAAGACGGAUGACUCACGGGACAUAAUCUCGGUCACCUGAUCUCGAGUGAUUUUCUCUCUUCAGACGCAGAUCUGAGGCGUUCUUUUGGCUAAUGUUAUAGUCAUCACCGCUGGCUACUAUUCCUACGGGGUGAUGUUAGUGCUCAUCGUACUUUUGUUACGGCAGAACGUGAAAUGUGAAAGACAAAUACUCGGACAUCCAGGAUCAUAUCUCGGUCAGGCGCUUUCAUCGCGUUUCUACAAGACGAAUUGAGACGUUAGUCAUGUCUGUUGAAAGGGCGGUGAGAAAGGUGAUGGCGUAUGGGACAUAAUCUCGGUCACGCGAUUUUGAGAAAGACGUGUUCCUGAGUAGGUGGUAUUGUGUGGUUUUUAGUCUACUGUUGUUCUAGAGCUAUAUUGUCACGAAUGUGUGUGUUUAACUAUUUUCAGGACUUCA